UCUAAAACCCUCCUCCAGGAAGAGAGGGAGGACUCCACGCUCCAGAUAUAUUUAGGAGCCACUAAACAGUUAACCCCCAAGAAGAAAGACUUCAGAAGAUGGACCAAGCAAGCAGAAAUUCUCAUUUUGCAAACUGAAGAAGUCAUAAGGUUUGAGGUGAAAAAUUAUAGGAACCGUCACACCAGAUCCGCUGGUCACCCUCAUGUCAUGGGAUCCAGACCAGGAGAAGGCGGCUGGCCCUCCGGAGUGCAUGUGAUCAGCACGUGACGGGCUGGGCAGAGACAUGGUAAGAUGCACCACGUUACCAGCUAAGUCUGAAAAAAAGAAUCGAAGGAAAAUUGACUUCAUCAGAAAGGAUCAGGAAAACUUCCCAGGACUGUGUAGAAUCAGGAGACGAAGCAGCAAAAGCCAACUGCCGCCGAAGACCAGUUGUCAGUAAGUACUGGGAGGUAAGCUGCAAAGAACUUUGAAUUAGGUCGGUAUAAACAAUAGGGGGUUAUUCAAGUCCUUGCCUCGGGAAGGUCAGGAACAAAGUGAGUGUUUGUGAUCACGUUUGUCUCACCAAGAGCCAAACCCCAGGUGUUGUCCGGCCACAAAGCUGUCUCACUG